rnacentral:rRNA from 1 species
GACGAACGCUGGCGGCGUGCUUAACACAUGCAAGUCGAACGGAAAGGCCCUGCUUUUGUGGGGUGCUCGAGUGGCGAACGGGUGAGUAACACGUGAGUAACCUGCCCUUGACUUUGGGAUAACUUCAGGAAACUGGGGCUAAUACCGGAUAGGAGCUCCUGCUGCAUGGUGGGGGUUGGAAAGUUUCGGCGGUUGGGGAUGGACUCGCGGCUUAUCAGCUUGUUGGUGGGGUAGUGGCUUACCAAGGCUUUGGCGGGUAGCCGGCCUGGGAGGGUGACCGGCCACCAUGGGACUGAGGUACGGCCCAGUCUCCUACGGGAGGCAACAGUGGGGAAUAUUGCACAAUGGGCGGAAGCCUGAUGCGACAACGCCGCGUGCGGGAUGACGGCCUUCGGGUUGUAAACCGCUUUCGCCUGUGACGAAGCGUGAGUGACGGUAAUGGGUAAAGAAGCACCGGCUAACUACGUG